rnacentral:rRNA from 1 species
AUUGAACGCUGGCGGCAUGCCUUACACAUGCAAGUCGAACGGUAACGCGGGGCAACCUGGCGACGAGUAGCGAACGGGUGAGUAAUGCAUCGGAACGUGCCCAGUAGUGGGGGAUAGCCCGGCGAAAGCCGGAUUAAUACCGCAUACGACCUAAGGGUGAAAGCGGGGGAUCGCAAGACCUCGCGCUAUUGGAGCGGCCGAUGUCAGAUUAGGUUGUUGGUGGGGUAAAAGCCUACCAAGCCGACGAUCUGUAGCUGGUCUGAGAGGACGACCAGCCACACUGGGACUGAGACACGGCCCAGACUCCUACGGGAGGCAGCAGUGGGGAAUUUUGGACAAUGGGGGAAACCCUGAUCCAGCCAUGCCGCGUGAGUGAAGAAGGCCUUCGGGUUGUAAAGCUCUUUCGGCUGGGAAGAAAUCGCACAGGCUAAUACUCUGUGUGGAUGACGGUACCAGCAUAAGAAGCACCGGCUAACUACGUGCCAGCCGCCGCAGUAAUAC